GGGGAAUUAGCUCAAAUGGUAGAGCGCUCGCUUAGCAUGUGAGAGGUAGGGGGAUCGACACCCUCAUUCUCCA
rnacentral:tRNA from 1 species